rnacentral:rRNA from 1 species
ACAGCAGUAGCCGCGGGAAAACGGAGGGUGCAAGCGUUAUCCGGAUUCACUGGGUUUAAAGGGUGCGUAGGCGGAUCUGUAAGUCAGUGGUGAAAUCUCCAGGCUUAACCUGGAAACUGCCGUUGAUACUAUAGGUCUUGAAUUUUGUGGAGGUUAGCGGAAUAUGUCAUGUAGCGGUGAAAUGCACAGAUAUGACAUAGAACACCAAUUGCGAAGGCAGCUGGCUACACAACUAUUGACGCUGAGGCACGAAAGCGUGGGGAUCAAACAGGAUUAGAUACCCGGGUAGUCCCUGUCUCUUAUAC